UGGGGAAUUUUGGACAAUGGGCGAAAGCCUGAUCCAGCAAUGCCGCGUGUGUGAAGAAGGCCUUCGGGUUGUAAAGCACUUUUGUCCGGAAAGAAAUCCUUGGCUCUAAUACAGUCGGGGGAUGACGGUACCGGAAGAAUAAGCACCGGCUAACUACGUGCCAGCAGCCGCGGUAAUACGUAGGGUGCAAGCGUUAAUCGGAAUUACUGGGCGUAAAGCGUGCGCAGGCGGUUUGCUAAGACCGAUGUGAAAUCCCCGGGCUCAACCUGGGAACUGCAUUGGUGACUGGCAGGCCAGAGUAUGGCAGAGGGGGGUAGAAUUCCACGUGUAGCAGUGAAAUGCGUAGAGAUGUGGAGGAAUACCGAUGGCGAAGGCAGCCCCCUGGGCAAUACUGACGCUCAUGCACGAAAGCGUGGGGAGCAAACAGGAUUAGAUACCCU
rnacentral:rRNA from 1 species